AACGCACAUUGCGCCCGCCAGUACUCUGGCGGGCAUGCCUGUCCGAGCGUCAUUUCAACCCUCAAGCCCCUCGGGUCUUGGUGUUGGGGAUCGGCCGCUGCGCAACCCGCGGCGGCCGGCCCCGAAAUCCAGUGGCGGCCUCGCUGUAGCGUCUCCUGCGUAGUAGAAACACCUCGCAGCGGACCGCGGCGCCGGCCCCGCCGUAAAACCCCCAACUUUCUGACGUUGACCUCGGAUCAGGUAGGAAUACCCGCUGAACUUAA
rnacentral:misc_RNA from 1 species